GACGAACGCUGGCGGCGUGCCUAAUACAUGCAAGUCGAACGGUCUUUUCUAUGGAAGCUUGCUUCCGCUGAGAAGAUAGUGGCGAACGGGUGAGUAACACGUGGGUAACCUGCCCAUAAGAGGGGGAUAACAUCCGGAAACGGGUGCUAAUACCGCAUAGUUUUCUUGAUCGCAUGAUCGGGAAAGGAAAGACGGCCUUUGUGCUGUCGCUUAUGGAUGGACCCGCGGCGUAUUAGUUAGUUGGUGAGGUAACGGCUCACCAAGACGAUGAUACGUAGCCGACCUGAGAGGGUGAUCGGCCACAUUGGGACUGAGACACGGCCCAAACUCCUACGGGAGGCAGCAGUAGGGAAUCUUCCGCAAUGGACGAAAGUCUGACGGAGCAACGCCGCGUGAGUGAAGAAGGUUUUCGGAUCGUAAAACUCUGUUGUCAGAGAAGAACAAGUUGGAGAGUAACUGCUCCAGCCUUGACGGUAUCUGACCAGAAAGCCACGGCUAACUACGUGCC
rnacentral:rRNA from 1 species